UGACAGGCCCUGUAAGAGUCCUUGCU
rnacentral:piRNA from 1 species